GGUGGCCUGGCUCGCGAGCGAGGACUGCUCGUUCUCGACCGGAGCGGUGUUCGACCUGUCGGGCGGCCGC
rnacentral:tRNA from 1 species